rnacentral:rRNA from 1 species
AGACCCGAAACCCGGUGAUCUAGCCAUGGGCAGGUUGAAGGUUGGGUAACACUAACUGGAGGACCGAACCGACUAAUGUUGAAAAAUUAGCGGAUGACCUGUGGCUGGGGGUGAAAGGCCAAUCAAACCGGGAGAUAGCUGGUUCUCCCCGAAAGCUAUUUAGGUAGCGCCUCGUGAACUCAUCUCCGGGGGUAGAGCACUGUUUCGGCUAGGGGGCCAUCCCGGCUUACCAACCCGAUGCAAACUGCGAAUACCGGAGAAUGUUAUCACGGGAGACACACGGCGGGUGCUAACGUCCGUCGUGAAGAGGGAAACAACCCAGACCGCCAGCUAAGGUCCCAAAGUCAUGGUUAAGUGGGAAACGAUGUGGGAAGGCCCAGACAGCCAGGAUGUUGGCUUAGAAGCAGCCAUCAUUUAAAGAAAGCGUAAUAGCUCACUGGUCGAGUCGGCCUGCGCGGAAGAUGUAACGGGGCUAAACCAUGCACCGAAGCUGCGGCAGCGACACUCAGGUGUUGUUGGGUAGGGGAGCGUUCUGUAAGCCUGCGAAGGUGGCCUGUGAGGGUUGCUGGAGGUAUCAGAAGUGCGAAUGCUGACAUAAGUAACGAUAAAGCGGGUGAAAAGCCCGCUCGCCGGAAGACCAAGGGUUCCUGUCCAACGUUAAUCGGGGCAGGGUGAGUCGACCCCUAAGGCGAGGCCGAAAGGCGUAGUCGAUGGGAAACGGGUUAAUAUUCCCGUACUUGGUGUUACUGCGAAGGGGGGACGGAGAAGGCUAUGUUGGCCGGGCGACGGUUGUCCCGGUUUAAGCGUGUAGGUGUGUGUUCCAGGUAAAUCCGGUUCACUUUAACACUGAGGCGUGAUGACGAGGCACUACGGUGCUGAAGCAACAAAUGCCCUGCUUCCAGGAAAAGCCUCUAAGCAUCAGGUAACAUCAAAUCGUACCCCAAACCGACACAGGUGGUCAGGUAGAGAAUACCAAGGCGCUUGAGAGAACUCGGGUGAAGGAACUAGGCAAAAUGGUGCCGUAACUUCGGGAGAAGGCACGCUGACACGUAGGUGAAGUGAUUUACUCACGGAGCUGAAGUCAGUCGAAGAUACCAGCUGGCUGCAACUGUUUAUUAAAAACACAGCACUGUGCAAACACGAAAGUGGACGUAUACGGUGUGACGCCUGCCCGGUGCCGGAAGGUUAAUUGAUGGGGUCAGCGCAAGCGAAGCUCCUGAUCGAAGCCCCGGUAAACGGCGGCCGUAACUAUAACGGUCCUAAGGUAGCGAAAUUCCUUGUCGGGUAAGUUCCGACCUGCACGAAUGGCGUAAUGAUGGCCAGGCUGUCUCCACCCGAGACUCAGUGAAAUUGAACUCGCUGUGAAGAUGCAGUGUACCCGCGGCAAGACGGAAAGACCCCGUGAACCUUUACUAUAGCUUGACACUGAACAUUGAGCCUUGAUGUGUAGGAUAGGUGGGAGGCUUUGAAGUGUGGACGCCAGUCUGCAUGGAGCCGGCCUUGAAAUACCACCCUUUAAUGUUUGAUGUUCUAACGUGGACCCGUGAUCCGGGUUGCGGACAGUGUCUGGUGGGUAGUUUGACUGGGGCGGUCUCCUCCUAAAGAGUAACGGAGGAGCACGAAGGUUGGCUAAUCCUGGUCGGACAUCAGGAGGUUAGUGCAAUGGCAUAAGCCAGCUUGACUGCGAGCGUGACGGCGCGAGCAGGUGCGAAAGCAGGUCAUAGUGAUCCGGUGGUUCUGAAUGGAAGGGCCAUCGCUCAACGGAUAAAAGGUACUCCGGGGAUAACAGGCUGAUACCGCCCAAGAGUUCAUAUCGACGGCGGUGUUUGGCACCUCGAUGUCGGCUCAUCACAUCCUGGGGCUGAAGUAGGUCCCAAGGGUAUGGCUGUUCGCCAUUUAAAGUGGUACGCGAGCUGGGUUUAGAACGUCGUGAGACAGUUCGGUCCCUAUCUGCCGUGGGCGCUGGAGAACUGAGGGGGGCUGCUCCUAGUACGAGAGGACCGGAGUGGACGCAUCACUGGUGUUCGGGUUGUCAUGCCAAUGGCACUGCCCGGUAGCUAAAUGCGGAAGAGAUAAGUGCUGAAAGCAUCUAAGCACGAAACUUGCCCCGA